AUUGAACGCUGGCGGCAGGCCUAACACAUGCAAGUCGAGCGGAUGAAGGGAGCUUGCUCCUGGAUUCAGCGGCGGACGGGUGAGUAAUGCCUAGGAAUCUGCCUGGUAGUGGGGGAUAACGUCCGGAAACGGGCGCUAAUACCGCAUACGUCCUGAGGGAGAAAGUGGGGGAUCUUCGGACCUCACGCUAUCAGAUGAGCCUAGGUCGGAUUAGCUAGUUGGUGGGGUAAAGGCCUACCAAGGCGACGAUCCGUAACUGGUCUGAGAGGAUGAUCAGUCACACUGGAACUGAAACACGGUCCAGACUCCUACGGGAGGCAGCAGUGGGGAAUAUUGGACAAUGGGCGAAAGCCUGAUCCAGCCAUGCCGCGUGUGUGAAGAAGGUCUUCGGAUUGUAAAACACUUUAAGUUGGGAGGAAGGGCAGUAAGUUAAUACCUGGCUUUUUUGACGUUACCAACAGAAUAAGCACCGGCUAACUUCGUG
rnacentral:rRNA from 1 species